GGGGAAUCUUCCGCAAUGGACGAAAGUCUGACGGAGCAACGCCGCGUGAGUGAUGACGGCCUUCGGGUUGUAAAGCUCUGUUAAUCGGGACGAAUGGUUCUUGUGCGAAUAGUGCGAGGAUUUGACGGUACCGGAAUAGAAAGCCACGGCUAACUACGUGCCAGCAGCCGCGGUAAUACGUAGGUGGCAAGCGUUGUCCGGAAUUAUUGGGCGUAAAGCGCGCGCAGGCGGAUUGGUCAGUCUGUCUUAAAAGUUCGGGGCUUAACCCCGUGAUGGGAUGGAAACUGCCAAUCUAGAGUAUCGGAGAGGAAAGUGGAAUUCCUAGUGUAGCGGUGAAAUGCGUAGAUAUUAGGAAGAACGCCAGUGGCGAAGGCGACUUUCUGGACGAAAACUGACGCUGAGGCGCGAAAGCCAGGGGAGCGAACGGGAUUAGAUACCCCGGUAGUCCUGGCCGUAAACGAUGGGUACUAGGUGUAGGAGGUAUCGACCCCUUCUGUGCCGGAGUUAACGCAAUAAGUACCCCGCCUGGGGAGUACGACCGCAAGGUUG
rnacentral:rRNA from 1 species